rnacentral:tRNA from 1 species
CGCGGGGUAGAGCAGUUGGCAGCUCGUCGGGCUCAUAACCCGAAGGUCGUUGGUUCGAAUCCAACCCCCGCCA